GACAACACAAAAUACACACUAAAUGCUGUUUUUCAAUAUUUCUUUUUGGCUAAAUGAAGAAAUAAAGACAAUAUGAUGAAGCCAGAUGUCCCCCACUGGAGAGCUCUCAAGUGAGCUUCCAGCAUCCCAGCCCGGGCAAGGACAAAGCGAUCAGCUACGAUGAUUUGAGAAGGGGCUGACAUCAUCAUGUUCUUCUUCUGCCAGCAAAGCCCAGGGUCCUAUCUGCAUUGUCUAAUUCAGCGGCAUGUUCACAGAAUUAAGAAGGAUGCUCGAGGCCUGAGACAAUGUGGAGGGAUGGUGGACUAUGGAAUUAUACUAACAAGUUGCAAAUAAUGCACAGAUCAGAAGUCCCAUGCCAGCACACCAGGAGACACUUGAAGUCAGUCACAAAGGUCAGAGGAAGAGCUCCCAGCUCCUGUGUCCCUCAUCUGCGGAGAGAGAAGCUGGCGUCCGGCACCUCUCUCAGGAGCACCUCUCAGUCAACUUUUAGGAGAAACCACCAGGCUCAGUGCCCAGUUCUCCGCUUUCUGGGCUGAGAGUGGAGAUACCACUGAGCACUCUGAGCAUCUAGCAGGCCUCCUGGAUGAUUCCAGAGUAAGUUGUGGGUUGUACCACUUUGUAUUAAGUACAUUAAGUACAAUUAAGUACUUUAAGUAC
rnacentral:lncRNA from 12 species